rnacentral:rRNA from 1 species
GCAAACCUCGGUCCACAGGGCCGGGGACGACGGAGGUGACGAGCGUUAUCCGGAAUGACGGGGCGUAAAGGUCACGCUGGCGGGGCGUUAAGGCUGACGUGAAAUCUCCUGGCUUAAGUGGUAGGGGUCGUUGGAAACUGAUGUGCUUGGGGCGGUGAGAGGGGUGUAGAAUUCCCGGUGUAGUGGUGGAAUGCGUAGAUAUCGGGAGGAAUACCAGUGGCGAAAGCGGCACCCUGGCACUAGCCUGACGCUCAUGUGCGAAGGCGUGGGGAGCGAACGGGAUUAGAUACCCCUGUAGUC